GAUGAACGCUGGCGGCGUGCCUAAUACAUGCAAGUCGAGCGAAUGGAUUAAGAGCUUGCUCUUAUGAAGUUAGCGGCGGACGGGUGAGUAACACGUGGGUAACCUGCCCAUAAGACUAGGAUAACUCCGGGAAACCGGGGCUAAUACCGGAUAACAUUUUGAACCGCAUGGUUCGAAAUUGAAAGGCGGCUUCGGCUGUCACUUAUGGAUGGACCCGCGUCGCAUUAGCUAGUUGGUGAGGUAACGGCCCACCAAGGCAACGAUGCGUAGCCGACCUGAGAGGGUGAUCGGCCACACUGGGACUGAGACACGGCCCAGACUCCUACGGGAGGCAGCAGUAGGGAAUCUUCCGCAAUGGACGAAAGUCUGACGGAGCAACGCCGCGUGAGUGAUGAAGGCUUUCGGGUCGUAAAACUCCGUUGUUAGGGAAGAACAAGUGCUAGUUGAAUAAGCUGGCACCUUGACGGUACCUAACCAGAAAGCCACGGCUAACUACGUGCCAGCAGCCGCCGUAA
rnacentral:rRNA from 1 species